rnacentral:lncRNA from 1 species
UGUUGUCAAAGCAAUACAGUUUGGAGCAGGAGGGUGGAAGGCUCAGGAGGAAUGUCUCCAAGAAAAAAAAUGGAACUAUUCUGUAACCUGCUUGACUAUAUUGCAGAUGUUUCACAAACACCUCACAGUUUUCCUUCAGAGAGCUUUGGGGUGAAUCAUUGAUCGGCACACAGAAAACUAAGCAAGCAAGCUUGCCAAAAAAAAAAAGUACAAUUGGAGUCUGUAGCUUUAGAUCCGUCAGCCAAAUGAGCAACCUAAAACUAAACUCCCAAACUGGCCAGCUCUCCCUCCCCGUGGCAGAAGGACUGCGGAAAUCGUGCUCUCUGCAUGCUCAUUCCCCAAAGGAAGAGGGACAGACAGGAGCCACGCUCACCCAUUUGUUCUUCCCAGGAUGAAGAAACAAAGUGAGAGAAGUCUGCUGAAAUAUACUUACGACAAUAUUCUAAAUGUCAUUUGUUGAGUGAUCCAUAAACUUUCAUGGUACAAGGAAUGGGAUUGUAUAAAAGUGACCCCGAGAGCUCACUCUUAGUUACCUGAAACAGUGAGCCAUCUGGAACCAGGAAUUAGCUUUUGACCAGUGGGAGAAGCCACACUUGAACUCAGCUUCCUGUAAGACUGAUGGCAUUAUUUUACCCUCUUCCAGGAACUACAAUUUUCUAAAAAAUUUCCUUUUUUAGUUGAGAUAUAAUUGAUAUACAACAUUAUAUUAGUAGAAUUACAACUUUCUAUGGUCUCCGCUGUCCUGAGGUGCUGGGCAGCUGGUUUUCACAGUUACUUCCUCUAAAUAGGUUGCAUGCAAUCCAGACUGCCUUAUGUUUAAGUUAUCUGCCUAUCUCUACUGAUAAGGUUGCUCUCAUGCUUGCCCUAUAAGAAAGGAGAGCAACAGUGGGGUGGGAUCUCUUCCCUGGAAUACUGUACUGAGUGUCCAUCAGAUGGCUCAGGCCCCUACGUACUCCCCCAUGGGAAAAAUGGGAGAAACAAAUGACCUGUGACUUUUGUUGUUACUGAUUCCUUGAGUUUUCUCAUUAAACCCUAGUUUUUAACCCUUACAACAUGAUAUUAUAAAAUUCAUCCUGAGCUCUGGUAAAGCUUCAUGUGGCCACCACAAAAGGACCCAUUUUGCACAACACAUUUAUUGAUGAUAAUCGAAGAGUUGUUCUGCAUACCCAAAUUUUGGACAGUUCGUACCUCAGUUUGUAUAUCUGUAACAUGGAUUGAAGUCACUGGCUAUAUUUGUGUUUUGCUUUGGAUAAAAUGUCCUCCUAUCUGUGUUAACUCAUGCAUUUUCUUCCAAUCCAUCUGUCUCCCUUCACAGCUCUCUCUCCUUGUCCAGCUAAGAUUCCAUGAUGUAUUGUUCAAUAAUAAUGUUGCUGGUACCCUAAACUCCCUUCACCUUCUGUCUUCUUUGAGGCAUCUGCCAAGGACUGCAACCAGCUAUGACAGCCACAGAUGUCUUCAGACAUUGCCAAAUGACCCUUAUAGGGCAAAAUUGCCUCUGGUUGAGAAUCAUUGCUCUAUCCUCAUGGCUCCUGUUAAGGUUACCAAUGACUUUCACAAUGCUAAGUCUCAUUUCUUAUCAUACCUGAUAUCUCAGUGGCAUCUGACAUUGUUAACCUCUCCCUUCCUGAAACAUUUUUCUCUUACCUCCAAUGACUUAACAUUCUUUUGAUUCUACCUUUACCUCUUGGCUUCUCCCUUCCUUCCUUCUUUUUUUUCUUCCUUCCUUCCUUGUUUCUUCCUCCCUCCCUCCCCGUCUCUCUCU